rnacentral:rRNA from 1 species
GCUUACGGCCAUACCACCCUGAGAACGCCCGAUCUCUUCUGAUCUCGGAAGCUAAGCAGGGUCGGGCCUGGUUAGUACUUGGAUGGGAGACCGCCUGGGAAUACCAGGUGCUGUAAGCU